UCCUCGGUAGCUCAGUGGUAGAGCAAACGGCUGUUAACCGUUCAGUCGCUGGUUCGAGUCCAGCCCGGGGAGCCA
rnacentral:tRNA from 1 species